rnacentral:rRNA from 1 species
UACAGAGGGGGCAAGCGUUGUUCGGAAUUACUGGGCGUAAAGGGCGCGUAGGCGGCCCGCUAAGUCGAACGUGAAAUCCCGGGGCUCAACCUGGGAACUGCAUUUGUGACUGCACAGCUUGAGUGCGGCAGAGGGGGAUGGAAUUCCGCGUGUAGCAGUGAAAUGCGUAGAUAUGCGGAGGAACACCGAUGGCGAAGGCAAUCCCCUGGGCCUGCACUGACGCUCAUGCACGAAAGCGUGGGGAGCAAACAGG